rnacentral:misc_RNA from 1 species
GAUGAAGAACGUAGCGAAAUGCGAUAAGUAAUGUGAAUUGCAGAAUUCAGUGAAUCAUCGAAUCUUUGAACGCACAUUGCGCCCGCCAGUAUUCUGGCGGGCAUGCCUGUUCGAGCGUCAUUACAACCCUCAGGCCCCCGGGCCUGGCUUUGGGGAUCGGCGAGGCGCCCCCCGCGGGCACGCGCCGUCCCCCAAAUACAGUGGCGGUCCCGCCGCAGCUUCCAUUGCGUAGUAGCUAACACCUCGCAACUGGAGAGCGGCGCGGCCAUGCCGUAAAACACCCAAUUUCUGAAUGUUGACCUCGAAUCAGGUAGGAAUACCCGCUGAACUUAAGCAUAUCAAUAAGCGGAGGA